rnacentral:lncRNA from 1 species
AGAAUAAUCUGCAGCUAGGGGAAGGCCAGGCUGGGUCUCAGGGUGAGAGUUACAGAAGGAUAUGAAAUAAUCGGGGAAGAGGCAAGCGGGUAUCCUGAUGCAGACCAUCCCCAGCCAGAAACACAGCCGCAGAACUGAGCCCAAGCUCCAGACCAAAAACUGAGCCCAAGCUCAGGGUCUGCAUGGCCCAGAGCUGGCAUCUGUCCGGGGGACUGGCCCAGGCAAAGUGACCACUGUCAUCCAGUCCAGGAGCUGUGAGCUGCAUGGAAAGAAUGUGAAUGAAGACACAACUCUAAAUGUGGAACCAUGGACGCUAUGUGAGCCAGUGUGCUCCCUAGCCGUCCAGAAAAACAAGGCCCACUUGUACAUUCUGCAAGAGCAUAAAUAAAGCUGUCCUCAGGCGGCGUGCUGUGGUGGCCCAUCCUUGCAGUGGCUUCACUGGCUGCACCCCUCAGCAAGGCCUCUGGAACACUGUGAGGGCAGCACACCCACCCAACAGCGUGGGUAAAAAACGGUCUAGCUAUGGCCUUGCCGCACGUGGUGAUCGCUAACUUAAUUUUGCAGCAAAUUUAAUCUGCUCUGUAUUGGUAUUAAUUAGAAAUGUUCAAAAGCUGGUAAUAAGGGCAGUGCAGAAUGGGUCCUUCAGGCCAAUUUCUGGUUCUGGGUAUUUGAAGCUCAUAUCCCUGCAAAUAACAGGAAGCCACUCACCUGAUUCUUUUAACUUUGCGUCCUGGUUAUAUGUGACUUCCUGUCGGGGAACGUUUCUUCAUUAUCACCCAGCUUUCCUUUAGGAGUCAUUUCUGUAAAGUUCUUCAGGACGGUGGUACAUUUCCAUGGCUUAAUAAUAAUAAUAGCAAGUGAAAAUGCUAGCCAGCAAACAUAGAAUGCUUACUUUGUGUGCCACAUGGUUCUAAGUCCUCACAUCAAUUAACCCACACCCUAUACACCCCUGAUCAUAGGUCCCUGCAUGAUUUUUUCCCAUCCCCAUGAAUCACUAUCCAUUGGGGAGCUAGGGAAGGAUGAGAUAUGGAGAAGUGAUAUUUCCUGAGCACUCAUUAUGUGCCAGGAAAACACUUUCUGUGCUUUGUUCCACAAAAUACUUAGUCUCCCUGUAAGAUGGCAGCUAAUGUUUCCUUUUUAAGGAUGAGGAAACUGAGGCUUGCAGAGGUCCCAGGAUGCCACAGCUAAUAGCAGCACAGAAGAUGCAGACGAGGGCUCACCUUCCCACCUAUCCAGUUAGUACUCUCCCAGCCCAAGUGCAGGACACAGCCAGCUGUUCUCCUUGCCUCUCCCUGCAGAGAGGGCAAUGCCUGCAGGGCACCUCCUUAGCUACCGAUUUGUUAUGGGGAUUCUGUGCCCACUGUGAGCACAGCAUGAGUGUAUUUCCAAGCCUGAUGGCAAGAUGGUGCCUCACUGGAGGAGCCCUCACUUCAGGGGCUUAGGCCCAGCUGGGCUGGCUGCCUGCUGAGGGGCCUGAGCCGGAGGACCUCUCUUGCAGGAGCACUAGGUUGGUGAGGUGUUGCCUGCUAAUGUGUAGCUCAGAGGGGCUAGAGUUAUGGGGGCAGGGCCCUGUUUGUAGCUCAGAGCUUGAAAGAGCCCAAGUUGCCGAGGCCCCUUCUAUAGGGCUGCCCUUCUCCCUAUCUGACCAGCCUGGUGCUGGGAUGGCGAUAGUCACAUUCAACUGAGGGUCACCUUGGCUGAGGCCUCUCCUCAAGGCAGUUCCUUUAGGAUUCUUUGUUUAGGACUUUACGAUGGAAGACUUAGACAUAAGAAACAGAAUCUGUGAAGGAAAUCCAGUUUAUUAAAGUGCUACCAAGUCUCACAACAAAGCCAUGGCAACCAGCUGGGAGGUCGGCUUCCUGGUGGAUCUGGGUGUAGUUGCUCCUCUCUCCACACUCAGAGAGAUCUGGAAGCCCAGCGUUAAGAGGAGCUACUCCCUAGAGGACGGGUUGACAAACUUUUUCUGCAAAAGGCCAGAUGGUAAAUAUUUUCAGCUUUGCAGGCCAGUGGGUCUUUGUCAAAAGAGCUCAGUUAGGCCAUGGUAGCAUGAAAGCAAUUAGAGACACUCUACACAAAUAGGAGUGACUAACACGGUAAAUAAAACUUCAGUUUCAGAGUUUAAAAGAAGAAAGUUGAUUUUCAUACAAUUCCAUGUAUUACAAAUAUUCUUAUUUUGACAUUUUCCCUCCAAUUAUUGAAGUGUGUACAACCACUCUUAGCUCACAGGGCUGUCCAGAACAGACAGCACAGGGAUUUGGCUCAUGGACAGUUUGCCGACCUCUGCCCUAGAGCCACUUUGUCCACUUGAGUGGCCACCAACCCUAUGUGGCUAAUGAGCACUUGAAACAUGGCUGGUCUGAACCAAGAUGUUCUGUGAGUGUAAAAUGCACACUGGAUUUCCUUAGUACAAAGAAAACCUUGGAAAAUAUCUCAACAAUAUUCUGUAUUGAUUACAUGUUGACAUGACAAUACCUUGGACAUUCUGGGUUUAAUAAAAUAUAUUGUUAAAAUUU